rfam:Celeribacter baekdonensis B30 contig1, whole genome shotgun sequence.
CAUGGAGCCGGGUGAAAUUCCCGGCUGGCUCCUCCGGCCGCCUAUCCGCCGGAUAACC